GGGGACAACAGCCAGAAAUGGCUGCUAAUACCGCAUAAGCCUGCUGUGCCGCAUGACACAGCAGGGAAAACCACGGUGGUACAGGAUGGGCCCGCGUCUGAUUAGUUAGUUGGCAGGGUAACGGCCUACCAAGACAACGAUCAGUAGCCGGCUUGAGAGAGUGGACGGCCACAUUGGGACUGAGACACGGCCCAGACUCCUGCGGGAGGCAGCAGUGGGGAAUAUUGCACAAUGGGGGGAACCCUGAUGCAGCAAUGCCGCGUGGGUGAAGAAGCACUCCGGUGCGUAAAGCCCUGUCAGCAGGGAAGAAAAUGACAGUACCUGGACAAGAAGCCCCGGCUAACUACGUGCCAGCAGCCGCGGUAAUACGUAGGGGGCAAGCGUUAUCCGGAUUUACUGGGUGUAAAGGGAGCGCAGGCGGCGUGGCAAGUCAGAUGUGAAAACCCGGGGCCCAACCCCGGGAGUGCAUUUGAAACUGCCAUGCUGGAGUGCCGGAGAGGUAAGCGGAAUUCCUAGUGUAGCGGUGAAAUGCGUAGAUAUUAGGAGGAACACCAGUGGCGGAGGCGGCUUACUGGACGGUAACUGACGCUGAGGCUCGAAAGCGUGGGGAGCAAACAGGAUUAGAUACCCUGGUAGUCCACGCCGUAAACGAUGAA
rnacentral:rRNA from 1 species